rnacentral:lncRNA from 1 species
AAUAUUUUCAGGGAUACUGGAGAAUGACAACAGCAGAGGCUGUGAGGACACAGUCCGAGACUUUAUGUCAACUCAAUUAAAACUGCCCACUGAUGUUGUGUUUAACCUCUUGAGCUUAUGGCUCAAUACUGCCCCCGUUGGAGGAAGUGCGUGCCCAUAGUAAACUGAAAAUAUUUUUUUCCAAAAUUGCUAAUAUAUGCAUAUAAUAAUAAUUAUUGAAUAGAAAACACUCUAAAGUUUCUAAAACCGUUUAAAUUAUGUCUGUAUGUAAAGCAGAACUCUCAGGGCAGCCUUUCUCCCAAACUCUCUCUUGUCAAGAGAAAAGUUGGGUCAACUUUGACGUCAUCGCCCCCACCCUUCCCAGGCAGCUACCGAUCUGGGAACAGUAUGUAUUUGUUCAGCGCGAUGUCUGCUUUCAAUUGGCACGUUCAUUGUUUGAAUUUCGCGCUCCCUCAUCCUUUGGCGGGCGAAAAUGCCCGGUUCACUCUCACAUACAUGCACUCUAUUGCGCGCGGCCGAUUUGGGGAACGUUCUUUUCCAAUAGACACCAGUUGAAGCCGGUUCGUUUAAUCGAGCAAAAUGAUGUUUUUAUCAUGUAAAACAAUGAUCAUCGCGAACAAACGAACCGGCUUCAACUGGUGUCUAUUGGAAAAGAACGUUCCCCAAAUCGGCCGCGCGCAAUAGAGUGCAUGUAUUUGAGAGUGACCCGGGCAUUUUCGCCCGCCAAAGGAUGAGGGAGCGCGAAAUUCAAACAAUGAACGUGCCAAUUGAAAGCAGACAUCGCGCUGAACAAAUACAUACUGUUCCCAGAUCGGUAGCUGCCUGGGAAGGGUGGGGGCGAUGACGUCAAAGUUGACCCAACUUUUCUCUUGACAAGAGAGAGWUUGGGAGAAAGGCUGCCCUGAGAGUUCUGCUUUACAUACAGACAUAAUUUAAACGGUUUUAGAAACUUUAGAGUGUUUUCUAUUCAAUAAUUAUUAUUAUAUGCAUAUAUUAGCAAUUUUGGAAAAAAAUAUUUUCAGUUUACUAUGGGCACGCACUUCCUCCAACA